rnacentral:rRNA from 1 species
GACGAACGCUGGCGGCGCGCCUAACACAUGCAAGUCGAACGAGCGAGAGAGAGCUUGCUUUCUCGAGCGAGUGGCGAACGGGUGAGUAACGCGUGAGGAACCUGCCUCAAAGAGGGGGACAACAGUUGGAAACGACUGCUAAUACCGCAUAAGCCCACGACCCGGCAUCGGGUUGAGGGAAAAGGAGCAAUCCGCUUUGAGAUGGCCUCGCGUCCGAUUAGCUAGUUGGUAAGGUAACGGCUUACCAAGGCAACGAUACGUAGCCGACCUGAGAGGGUGAUCGGCCACACUGGAACUGAGACACGGUCCAG